rnacentral:lncRNA from 1 species
GAUGAUCUCCAAGUAGUUUAUGGUGUUGAUAACAUGUUGGGAAACCAUGUAGUUUAGCACGUACACCCCUCGUGGCCUAAACCAAUCAGUUCAAACGAACCCCCUUCUUGUACUAGCCAAUCACCCCUACCCAACUUGUUCCCACCAUUGAAUGUGCUAAUCAAUGUUAAGAGUUGUUGUUUGAUUUUCCCGAGGUAUGGAAUGAUUUGCUGUGCGAUGUUGUGACGCAUAGAGUAUCCUCCCAAAACCUAUAAAAUCUCACUGAACAAAGGACUGGGACUCACUCCUGGGACCCCUGUGUCGGGAAUGGUCGUGAGUCCAGGCUCAAGCUUGCAAUAAAGACUCUUGUGUGAUUGUAUCGGAUUCGGCUCCUGGAGGUCUAUUGGGGUCCCAUGAAUCUGGCAUAACAAUCCUUGCACAAAUGACACUAAUUCAUUGAGUCCCCAGACUCAUAUAUAUAUAUAAAAAUUAUAUUUCCAAUAUGGUUUGAGCUAGACCCAUCUUGUGUCUUAUGUCUAAAUUCUACAUUGCAUUUUUCUUGUCAAUCUCUUGCUCUAUAGAUGACAAUAUUCUUUUUUUGAGAGAGAGAGAGAGAGUUUUUAAAUUUUUAUUUAUUUUUUUAGUUUUCAGUAGACACAACAUCUUUAUUUUAUUUUUAUGUGGUGCUGAGGAUCAAACCCAGCGCCUUGCGCAUGUCAGGCGUGCGCGAUACCGCUUGAGCCACAUCCUCAGCCCCAACAAUAUUCUUU